rnacentral:rRNA from 1 species
AUUGAACGCUGGCGGCAAGCCUUACACAUGCAAGUCGAACGGUAACGGGUCCUUCGGGAUGCCGACGAGUGGCGAACGGGUGAGUAAUAUAUCGGAACGUGCCCAGUAGUGGGGGAUAACUGCUCGAAAGAGCAGCUAAUACCGCAUACGACCCGAGGGUGAAAGGGGGGGAUCGCAAGACCUCUCGCUAUUGGAGUGGCCGAUAUCAGAUUAGCUAGUUGGUGGGGUAAAGGCCUACCAAGGCAACGAUCUGUAGUUGGUCUGAGAGGACGACAGCCACACUGGGACUGAGACACGGCCCAGACUCCUACGGGAGGCAGCAGUGGGGAAUUUUGGACAAUGGGCGCAAGCCUGAUCCAGCAAUGCCGCGUGCAGGAAGAAGGCCUUCGGGUUGUAAACUGCUUUUGUCAGGGAAGAAAUCUUCUGGGCUAAUACCCCGGGAGGAUGACGGUACCUGAAGAAUAAGCACCGGCUAACUACGUGCCAGCAGCCGCAGUAA